AAUUGAAUUGUAUCAUUUCAGAACUUGAAUGAUCUGAUACCACUAGGGUUAAAUGUCUGGCCUGCCAGGCAGGUUUGAAGGAGGACAUCUUGACAUGGAAUGAGAAUGGCCAUCUCACUAUGUAAAACUGAGGUUUUACUCAAGUGUGAUCAGCCUUGCAUGGCCCUGACAGCAUCCUUACCCUCACUCCCAAAGUGGAAAUUGGUGGGAGAUGUGUUUUCCAGACUCGGGGUGGAGGUUGGUGUAAGGGGUCAAAGUUUGAUCAUGAAGCUUCAUUUACACCUCCCUUAGUUGAAAUAUGUCCGUGAAGGGACGUGUGACAGUGUCAGCCUCUCAGUGAGAUGGAUGGAGUCGGAGUGUGCCGCUGCAUGUGUACCUGUGGUUUAACUUGUAGGAAUGGACCACUUCCUGUACGGCCUGUCGGAUGAGAUGAAGCAGGUGCACAGGGAGCAGCUCUUCGCUGUCAGCCACGACAAACUCACCGCUGUGAGCAACAAGUACCUCGGUGUUGGGAAGAGCACGCAUGGUUUGGCUCUACUUGGACCUGAGAAUGCAAAGAUUGCAAAGGACCCAUCAUGGAUAAUAAAAUAACUGGUCAUGAGUA